rnacentral:rRNA from 1 species
GAGUUUGAUCCUGGCUCAGAUUGAACGCUGGCGGCAUGCCUUACACAUGCAAGUCGAACGGCGGCACGGGAGCUUGCUCCUGGUGGCGAGUGGCGAACGGGUGAGUAAUGCAUCGGAACGUAUCCUGGAGUGGGGGAUAACGUAGCGAAAGUUACGCUAAUACCGCAUAUUCUGUGAGCAGGAAAGCGGGGGACCUUCGGGCCUCGCGCUCUUGGAGCGGCCGAUGUCGGAUUAGCUAGUUGGUGAGGUAAAGGCUCACCAAGGCGACGAUCCGUAGCAGGUCUGAGAGGAUGAUCUGCCACACUGGAACUGAGACACGGUCCAGACUCCUACGGGAGGCAGCAGUGGGGAAUUUUGGACAAUGGGGGCAACCCUAAUCCAGCCAUGCCGCGUGAGUGAAGAAGGCC